CCCCCACGCCCCUUCCGCCUCGCCCCGGCUCCGCCCGCCGCCGCCGCCGCCAUUUUGUGUGAGCGCGCGGCGCGGGGCCGAGCGGGGACCGGGAUCGGCGGGGCCUGGAGGAGCCGCUGCCCCUGCCCGCCAUGCCUUCCUCGCCGCUCCGCGUGGCCGUGGUGUGCUCCAGCAACCAGAACCGCAGCAUGGAGGCGCACAACAUCCUCAGCAAACGAGGAUUCAGUGUCCGAUCCUUUGGAACAGGGACUCAUGUGAAACUGCCAGGACCAGCACCGGACAAGCCGAAUGUUUAUGAUUUCAAAACAACAUAUGAUCAGAUGUACAAUGAUCUGCUUAGGAAAGACAAAGAACUGUAUCCCUGUGGCAUGGCCUUUUUAAAAAAUCCAAUAUGGUUCAUCUCUGAAAGAUCGAUGAACUGCCCUAAUACACGGAGCAUUUAUACUGGACCACUGUCCUGCAAGCUGUACAGAGCAACCUGGAGUUGCUUAGUGGGGAAAGUAAUCACUGCGUGGGUGCACAGGAGGACUGGUGAGAUCCGCAGAGCAUCUGCAUCCUGCUUGCUGGGGCCGUAUAGCUCAGUCUUGAAGAGUAACUUAAUUAAAUUCCACUUCAGCUUCUGUCUGUCCAGGUUCAUCUUCAAAUAUGGCUUGAGCUGCUGAGCACUGACAAGUCGUGGUGUUCUCUUUGGACCAGCUGCUGUGAGUAUGCCCAGUUGAAUUUUAUCUGUGCAGCUUGGGAAUGCUAUGGAUUUGUCCUUGACAGUGAAAAACAAGUGACGCUUCAAUUCAUUAAUGCAGAUACAAAUGUCAUCAGAAAUGUUAUUUAACCCAAAUUAGUAUUUUUGUGAUAUUUUGGGCUGGCAUAUUCUCAGCGUUAAAAGACUCUUAAGUCACACGCUGCCACAAAAGACAUGUUCACAACCUCUGGUUUGUACCAAAACCACACAAUUUAGAUUCCCAAUGAAAGGCAGUUUGCACUCUGGAUGUGGAAUGUAGGGAGUUAUUGUGGUCCUAAUCACAGUUGCUCAGAAAUCCGAAUUCGUAGUGCUAGUGCCCAUUUUCAGUCUCUUUUUCCUUGUAAAAGGAGCAGAUUCUGAAGGGGAAAGAAGGUUGGGCAGUCUCACCCCCCCCAAGCAUCUCCUUUAAGUAAACAUCUAGUUCCCAGGCAUUUCACCAAGCAGGUUGAACACAACACGUCUUCUGUUUAUAAUGCAGAUACUAAUAAAUUAAGAUGAUAUGGAAAAGAGACCUGCCAAUGCCAUUCAUGCUCCUGUCAGAGGUGUUCUGCUCUGCUGCUUUUUCACAAGGAAAGGCAGUAUUUGUGUGAUGACGGCGAUACCAGAUGAAUAACCAGCAUGUCAGAGUUGUUUGAGGAUGUAGCAGCUUUGGGUGCCAGCGUUAAAGAUGUUUCUUUUUCUAAAAGAGAAACUUCAAGGCACUUUCCCACUAGAUUCUGCUGCUCAGCGUGAAGAAGAGCAUGCCAAGACGCCCUUUAAUUCUUCAUGGACAGGUUUACAAGUUGUUCUAAAGAUCAUCUUCAGUUUCUUGAAAUGUUCGCCUCUGAAAUAAAACUUGGAAUAACUGCUGUUCUCCACUACGGCUGAACAGAGGGGUGAGUGUGUUGUUAACAGGCAUAGAUGGGGAGAUGGCGCUAACAUUUGAGCCAUUAAAAAGAAUUAAUAACACCACUAGUGAUUUUUAUGUAGCUGAAUGUGCGUAUUCGGUGCAGCUUUAAGUUACAGAAAUACAGACCAGACCCUGGAACACCUAAUUAGGAGACGCUGUAAAUACACAAGAGCAUCAGCUUAAGUGUUUUGGGCUUUUUUCCUGUUAAUUUUCAUAGUACUUGAAAGAAAUAACAUGUAGCAUCUGUAGGAGACAUUCUUCUUGUCAUUGUUCUAAGUCUGCCUAUUGCUUUUCUAACAUGUUUUACCCUGCUGACCUCUGUCAGAGCAUCGUCAUCACACAAUCUUGAGGGGCUGAUGUGUUGAAAAAGCUAUAUACUUAUUUUUUCCCUAAAUUUUUUUUUUUUAGUCAGUUGCCAGCUCUCACGAAAUUAGAGCCAGGAUCUAAUUUCCUAACAGACACUGCAAUCUACACUUUAUUGGAUUUCAUGGUCUGGUAAGCACCAAAUCUUUGCUGCUCUGUUCAGCCGCACAAACACUAUCAGCAAAACAAGUUGGACAUUUGUGGAAGCAAUGCGUUGUUACCAUUGCCUUUCAGCACGGGAGUGGUGAACAUGGACAUGGAAGAGAUUCUAUACUGGGGUUGGGAACACCCGUUUUCUUCUUUGUAGGCUUUAUGACAUACAGGGCAGGUUUAGGAAUUGCGCUAAUCAUAAUCAAUGCGUGAAGAGAACUACGAGAAUAUAUUGAAGAAGAAAACGCUUUGGUUUCUCGAGGUUCUCUGCACAUUCUGUGGAUGUUCUCCCAUAUGGCAGUUCCACUUUAGCGAAAGCCCCUGUUCACAGCUCCUACCCAGGCUUGCUCAUUGUUUGCCAAGCGGACCAGUUGGACCAUGGUGGGAGAUGGGUAAAACAGUAGAGUUUAAUUUCUGUAAAACUCCUUUGGAGCACUACUGGUGUUUAGGGAGAAGGGUUUAUACAGCAUCGUUAGUUGAAGUUGCUUUCAGUAGAGCCUUCUGGAGAGGGCUUGACUAACUGACACUUUCUGGUGGUUUUGAGCUUGGAAACUGCCUGGGAGGGGGAAGAAGGCUUUUGGAAUGUUGUGGAUCAUUGGUAUUUUCUUUGUGAUGACUUUCUGUGCCCAUGCUUUUGUCACAAAUAGUGGCCAGAGGUUUUGAGUUGCUCAGUUCAAAGCAAACACAUCAGUACAUUCUUAUGGAAUAUCCUUUAGUAAAUGGAGAGAAUGCACGGUCAGUGACGGUAGGAAUAGCUAGGUAUAGCCAUCUCCAUAAGGAUCAGAAACAAUGCUGCAUCUGUUGGAAAAACUCAACUUGUAUCAUAACAUCUCCUUUUUCUAUCAAAUAUUUCCAUUACUGAGUUGGCAUGCAUAAAUUUCAUUAUAUUGUGGACCUGUUUAGCAUAGUUAUUCCAAUAAAUGUGGUAACUGAAUUGGAUUCGCUGUAAAAAUGUGAUGGAUUUACUCUACCAAUAGUUUGCAGUGGGUGACGGCCUCUUAGAUAAAUGUAUGUAUGGUUUUUUUGUCUUUCUGAGCGUGGUAGCGUUAAGGCAGCUCCUGUGGCCAGACAACAGCGCUGAAAGCCAGGUGAGAAUUCUGGGAGUGCCUUCUGCAGAAGUGACUGCUGAAAAGAAAGAGCAGAGAGCCAUAGGAUAGGGAGCAUGGAGUUGAAAUCUGCUGGAAGGAAAGCAGGGUCUGACUUAAAUGGUUCAACAUCUGUCAGUGUAAGAAAGCCAUUAAUAAAUUAGAAUAUCUUUGCAUUCACCUGAGCUCGUGAAGAGAAAGAAGCUGAGUUGCGGCGAUGCAGUGAAACCGGUGAUGCAGAUCGCAUCCCCCCACUUGCAGAAAGGAUGGCAUGCUGUUUUUCCCAGGUGAAAAAAAUUGCAGACAACCAAAUAUGAAUCUUAACUGCUUGUUUCAGUCUCCUUUUAUAGGCAGAUGGACCCUUGGAAAAAAAAUAGCUCGAAGUUGGCAGCAGAAAGCUCAACUGUGAAGCAGAAAGCUUGACUGUGUGGGUUUUUUGAGUAUGCGUAAUUCUGUCUCCAAGCUCAGUCAGGAAAGCUAGGGGACAGAUGCCAGCAACAUUUUAUCCUAGAAAGGGAAAAAAAGAACCCCCAAAAGUGUGUGGGAUGUUGUGCAUUUUUUCCUUGAGCUGCAUGAUGUAGGAAUGAGGACUGAGGAGCCCAGAAAGGGCUCGUCUUCAAACGGAACGCAACGCAACCAGGUGGUUGCAAGCGUUUUAGAAAUGGCUGUUGCAGUCAUUUUCAGGCUUCGCACAGAACCAGAGGUCUGAGAUGGCUGCGUAGAAGUGGAUUUUUUCCAAGCAUGACAAACCCAAGAGGGUUUUACAGGGGUGCGGUGAGGAAGCAGUGGGUGCUGCUGCACAAGAGCUGCUUUUCAGAAGCCUUUGGGCUGUGAAGGACAAUUCUUUAAUUAUAUAGGGAUAAAUCUUUGGGAAGGGAGAGCGGUCAAAGGCUUGAGGGUGACCCGAAGAAGGAAAUACAGUGAAAGUCAGUUGGCUGAGAGACAAUUGAUCAUUCAGUUCAAACAACAGAUCAUUCAGUUUGUGAUUCAAAAUUAAGAUUUUCUUUAGCCGAGAAGCUAAAGUGCAGUGAUGCAGACAUAUGAGAGAACUGAGCAUACUUCCCGUAUAAAGUAGACUCUUACAGGUUUAAUUUUUAAUAUAGCUUAGACACUUGAAAGACUUGAAAGCUUUGGAGGCUGUUUGCUUGAAGACUGUUGAAGAACACUUGGAAGCGUAUAGAUUAGUGGGUGUAGAGCUGGCUGCUGCGGGCGGUGGAGCCUGAGAUGCCAGAGGGCAACUGCAAAAAGGUCGACAGAAAGUCGUUGGUCUCUUGAUACAAAAGGUCAGGAAUCUUCUCUGAAAAGAGUUAAGGUUCCUGUUAGGGGUGUAUAUGACCUUUUCAACAAGGAUGUAAGCCUAGACGACUUCUUAUGUACUUGCUGCUAAUGAUGGAAAUCUUUAUGGUCAGAUUCCUUCUGUUAUCUCUAUAGACUGUUGCCCUUACUGCUAUUUUAAUGUAAAAAUGCAUACUAAGAUGGCUAAAAAUACUGCUCUUUCAAAGCAAGGAAGAGAUGCAUCACUUUCCAGGCUUUCUAAAUUAAAAUCUUUCCUGGUAUUCCUAAUUUACCCUUAAAACUUUGCCUCCCGAGGGAGUUUGGUUUUAGUCGGGUGAGGGGAUAUAUGUGGCAGUCAACCCUGGUGCGCUCCUAAUGAAACCACGUGUCCCAGAAGGCUGAGAAGACAGUGGGAUUAGUGGAUCCUGUCGGCAAGGGGGAUACAGGAUGUAAAUCUGAGCCUCAAGGUUACGGUAGCAGCAUAAAUAUAGCUACCAAGCAGCAGAACAGAUUCCUUUCACACAGUGACUGAAGUUCUGACAGGCAUGAAGUCAGUGUUUUUCUUCAUUCCCUUUUAUAUAUCUUGGGAUAUUUUUAAGGGUGUAUGCCUCGUGGUUUAUUUAACUUUCUUCGGGAGCUCAGUUGUGCAAAGCCAAAGCUUGGGCAAGAAAUCAUGCAGGUGUGCAGCUUCCCCGAGGAACACCGUAUCAUUGACUUUGAAGACACCGGCCCCUGGAGCGAGGGGCAGCGACUUCAGGGAAUGUAGGACGUUCUGCUCAUGCAAACAGCUAACUCUGUGUUCUAAGCAUUAUAGAUAUAAAAAUAGUUACCCAAGAAAAACUGUCCUUCGGAGAAACUCAGCUUUUAUUGGGGCCUUUUAAAGCUGUCUCUGCAUUGUACCGAUGACAGUGACAGGUCUGAAAACCAGCAGCUUUGUGAAUUGUGCUGAUGGGGGUUGUGCUGGCACCUUGGGUAUCUAUUUAGUGGCCACUGGUCUUUAUACUGGCAAACAAAGAUUCUUAUCUUAAAGAUAGAGAAAUAAUUUAACUUGUACUGGCCAUUUGCUCAAAAACUUGACUUUUCUUAAAGUAAUGGUACUUAACUCGAG